UACGAAGGGGGCUAGCGUUGUUCGGAAUUACUGGGCGUAAAGCGUGCGCAGGCGGCUUCUCAAGUCAGGGGUGAAAGCCCAGAGCUCAACUCUGGAAUUGCCUUUGAGACUGAGUGGCUUGAGUACGAGAGAGGUGAGUGGAAUUCCCAGUGUAGAGGUGAAAUUCGUAGAUAUUGGGAAGAACACCGGUGGCGAAGGCGGCUCACUGGACCACAACUGACGCUGAUGCACGAAAGCUAGGGGAGCAAACAGG
rnacentral:rRNA from 1 species